rnacentral:rRNA from 1 species
UAGCGGCGGACGGGUGAGUAACACGUGGGCAACCUGCCUGCAAGACUGGGAUAACACCGGGAAACCGGUGCUAAUACCGGAUAAUCCUUUUCCUCUCAUGAGGAAAAGCUGAAAGUCGGUUUCGGCUGACACUUACAGAUGGGCCCGCGGCGCAUUAGCUAGUUGGUGAGGUAACGGCUCACCAAGGCGACGAUGCGUAGCCGACCUGAGAGGGUGAUCGGCCACACUGGGACUGAGACACGGCCCAGACUCCUACGGGAGGCAGCAGUAGGGAAUCUUCCACAAUGGACGAAAGUCUGAUGGAGCAACGCCGCGUGGGCGAUGAAGGCCUUCGGGUCGUAAAGCUCUGUUGUUAGGGAAGAACAAGUACCGGAGUAACUGCCGGUACCUUGACGGUACCUAACCAGAAAGCCACGGCUAACUACGUGCCA